UACGUAGGGGGCAAGCGUUGUUCGGAAUUACUGGGCGUAAAGGGCGCGUAGGCGGCACGGCAAGUCAGGAGUGAAAGCCCGGGGCUCAACCCCGGAAUGUCUUUUGAAACUGCCGAGCUAGAGUGCGGAAGAGGCAACUGGAAUUCCCAGUGUAGCGGUGAAAUGCGUAGAUAUUGGGGAGAACACCUGAGGCGAAGGCGGGUUGCUGGGCCGACACUGACGCUGAGGCGCGAAAGCCAGGGGAGCGAACGGG
rnacentral:rRNA from 1 species